GCAGACCUGGGGGACGCGGGGCAAUUUCAAGUUGACCUCCCGCAGAGGGUAGGGCUGGUCUCCUUCCCGCAGCGCAUGCUCGGCUUUGGAACCUGGUAGGCGGGGAGGAAGGAAGACCCGGUCGGGGAUCCUAAUAACAGCGUGGGGACUGCUUUCCUGCUGAGCGAGGGGAGCUGCCGCGGUCCCGCUGUCCGCGCUCUACGGGGAUGUGGAGAUUGCGCAACAGGAAACGUCCUGCGUGUCGGACAGCAAUAAAACCAGCAGUCACAGAUGCCCUUGGAAACGCCGAUGCGGUGAACCCCCACAGCAAGCUAGGCUUGCCUCGGAAACUUAGUCGACAAGAGACAAAUCCAGUGAGCACCGCCUGGCCGCCCCUGCACAGUCCAGAGUUUCUGCUCUGCUGACUUCCCUGCUGGGGAUCCCGGGAACCCCUGGAGGUGGGGAUGCAGAAAUUCAAGGAGGUGAAUCUUCUGCGUGAAGUCCCAUGUCCCACCAUCGGCAGGCCCGUGGGUCAAACGUGGAGAGCUCACCUUUGGAAUGUCUGCGCUGCGGGUGGCACUCCUGGCAUUUCUCCGUCGUGCUCAGGGAUGUUCUGCGUGGGUGGCAGGUGGCCUGGAGAAGAGCCCCAUCCCUGCGGACACAAGGUGGGGGCCAUGGCCGGUGCACCUGCAGAGCCUGGAUGACCCGGGAGGGCUGGUGCACUGCUCAGGGCCAAACCCUUGGGUGGGCAGGAGGCAGCCCUCCCGAGGUGGGCGGAGGGACACAGGGCGGCAGUGGCUUCCUUCGUCCCGCUCUGAACCGUGUGGCUGCAGGGACACCGCAAACGCUUGGUCCCGCUGGACGGCAGGAAUGAACGCCAGCCCAGGGAGGCGGGGCAGGGCUGCGUGCUUCUGGUUUACAGAUGAGGGAGCGGAAGCUCAGGGCCGGGGCUUCGGGCCCCAGUCGCCGGGCCCCAAGCGGCGAUGGACGUCAGGCUGACUCGGGCAAGUACUGCUUCGCCGCCAACCCGCCGCCAGCCCCUUCCUCCGCUGCCACAGAGAAGCAUCAGAGGCGGCCCGCCCCGCAGGCUUGCACAGAUCCAGUACACAGGUGCAGCCGGUGACCACGCUCCCGUCACCCAGCAGUGGAUGGUCAGCAGGGGCCGGGCUGGCCUCCACCCCCAAACGCCAAGUUCUCCCUCCUGAGUUCUGGAAGGUACCCCUCCACUCAAGGCCGUGUUGCUUCCCCUGACUUCUAUUGUAGUCUUCAAACAGAUGACUAGCUCCAACAGCCUUCGUGACAGGCAAACCCCAAACCCGGGAGACAACAUGAUUCCCUGAAGCCCAGUCCAGCCUCGGGUCCUUGGGUGCUCAUCCUUCGGUGGGGAGGGCGCGACCCCUGCAGCCCCACAGCCAGCCUGGGACAGAGCUUGUCUCUAACACGGAUGAAAGGCGGCUGCAUGGAUCCCGAAGCCGCCACUCCUGUGGCCACAUUGUGCUGUCACGUGUUUGAGGAAGCUGUCAAAUCUGUUGAGGCAUCUCGGUGCCUAAGUGAGUGCUCAACCCCGAGUCUCGGGAAGUACAAAAAUCUCCUCGUCUGUGUGCAGGCCCUGGCCAGCCAGCACCUCUGCGCCACGCCGUGGGAGCUCUGAACUGGGUCUGCGAGCAUCCGGGCUUUGUCCCCGUGUAUUUUGUGUAUCUGCUGGCAGGAUGCCUGCCCUAAGGUAUCGGAAAAGCCUAAGAGGUGAUUUUGGGGGCCUGGGAAUGCUCAAAACUGUUUCUAUAUAAAUUAGCCAUAAUUACUUCUUGGCCUUACCCCGUUGUGGCUUAGGGCAGGCCUCACAGAAGCACUCUGCUUUUGCAUAGCGGGGAACCCUAUAUUCGUGGGUCGAAAGAUGUUUCCUUCUCCGAUUGUCUUAUUUCACUUAUAUGUGGAAUAUAAGACACAGUGAAAGGGACAACAAGGGAAAGGAGGCGAACUGAGUGGGAAAAACUAGAGAGGGAGACAAACCAUGAGUGACUCCUAACUCUGGGAAACACACAAAGGGUUGAGGAAGGGGAGGUAGGCGGGGGGAUGGGGUAACUGGGUGACAGGCACUGAG